rnacentral:rRNA from 1 species
UACGUAGGGGGCGAGCGUUGUCCGGAAUCAUUGGGCGUAAAGCGCGUGUAGGCGGCUUGGUAAGUCCGGUGUGAAACCUUGGGGCUCAACCCCAAGCCUGCACUGGAUACUGCCUCGCUUGAGUCCGGGAGGGGAGAGCGGAAUUCCUAAGUGUAGCGGUGGAAAUGCGCAGAUAUUAGGAAGAACACCGGUGGCGAAGGCGGCUCUCUGGAACGGUACUGACGCUGAGGUGGCGAAAAGCGUGGGGAGCAACAGGG